GGUAGAAGUCUUCUCUCCCCUCCUUGGCUAAGGACGCAUUACUUAGGAUCAUACUAGCAUACUGGAUACUAAUUGGAAGUAGGGGAUAUGGGGUUCUCUUUGGAUCUGGCAAUGCUGAGUUUCUUAAUUAGAGUGCUGGUUAUGUAGGUGUGUUGGUGGAUUCAAUAAAAUUCACCAAGAUGAGCCCUUUAAAGAUAUACUAAGUGAAAUAAGUCCUUCACAAAAGGACAAAACUGUAUGAUCCCACUUAUGUGAAGUCCCUAGGACAGUCAAAUUCGUAGACACAGAAGGUAGAAUGGUGGUUCCCUUGGGAUUGCAGGGAUGGAGAAGUUAAGUGUUUAAGAGAAAUGGGGCUCCAGAUAGGAAGAUGGAAAGUUUCUGAGAUGGAUGGAUGGUGGUAGUUUUGCAAUAGUGUGAAUGCCUACUUAGUGCCAGUGAACUGUGCACCCAAAAUGGUUAGAAUUUUAUGUUAUAGGUAUUUAAUCACAAUUUUUUAAAAGAAGAAAAAAUUGAUGGAGCUGCAUAUUUGUGAUUUGUAGACUUUUCUACAUGUAAAAGCUGUGUGUGUGUGUGUGUGUGUGUGUGUGUUUUAAAAAAAACCUAACCAAAUCCUAGCUCUUGAAGCAUGGUGCUUAUUCCAUGAAGGACCAAAGGAUAGUUCCUGCUAUUUCAUCUCAUCUCCAUCUCCAAAAUCAAACAAACCAAGAUUUGACAACCUCAGUGACUCCCCUCACUGCUAUUUUCUGAAAUGUGUCUGAGGCUCUUUGUGCUUCUGUCUGGCCCUCCUUCUGCCCAAGUGGUCUGCGUAGGCAGGCGUGCCCUCCAGUGAUGGGAAGACUCAUAGCCCAGGCUUCCUCUGCCCUCCACGAGGGAACCCUGGGGUUAGAUCUAACCGAGUGAUGUCCAGCCCAAGCCUUCAACAAAUUCUGUGAUUCUCAGGAAACUUUGGCUGAAUGACUUUUUUUAAACUUCCCUAGCAUCAGAAAUAAUCCUCCUGAAAUAAAUCAUUCACUUUGGGCAUGAAAAUCAAGGGAAAAUGUUAGAAAAUAUUUAUCUAAGAUAUAACUGGUGACUUAUCACUCUAAUUUACUUAAUGAACAUUUAUGAGUCACU
rnacentral:lncRNA from 1 species